rnacentral:rRNA from 1 species
UACGUAGGGUGCGAGCGUUGUCCGGAAUUAUUGGGCGUAAAGAGCUCGUAGGCGGUUUGUUGCGUCUAUCGUGAAAACCUGCAGCUUAACUGUGGGCUUGCGGUGGAUACGGGCAGACUUGAGUUCGGUAGGGGAGACUGGAAUUCCUGGUGUAGCGGUGAAAUGCGCAGAUAUCAGGAGGAACACCCGUGGCUAAGGCGGCUCUCUAGUACGGUACUGACGCUGAGACGCGAAAGCGUGGGGAGCGAACAGG